GUGCUUGUUUUGGCAGUAUAUAUCCUAAAAUUGGAAUGAUGCAGGGAAGAUUAGCAUGGCCCUGUGCAAGGAUGACAGACAAAUUUGUGAAGUGGUCCGUAUUUUU
ensembl:snRNA U6 U6 spliceosomal RNA